ensembl:lncRNA
AAUAGACACCAGUUGAAGCCGGUUCGUUUGUUCGCGAUGAUCAUUGUUUUACAUGAUAAAAACAUCAUUUUGCUCGAUUCUGCACUUAGUUUGACCAGUUUAGUCGACAUAUAAUAUGUAAUUUUGAAGUUUUGAUGCGCAAGAGUGCGGGACCAGAAGGAGCAGAAGUUAUUUUGGGUGCAUUUCAGCUGAAGCUGUUAGCAUAUGCUAAUACAAAGACGCACAACUUGAAACCAAACGACGUAUUGGUAAAGGAUGAAGAUCCAGAGUAUGUUACUGCUGUUCGCUCUAGUGGGUGUCCUGUUAGCAAGCUCCCUCAAUGAAGAUAACUCUGAGGAUGCUCUCCUGCAGGAGGAUGAUGCAAAAAAUGGAAAGGCUGCCUUUUUGGCAAAGUUGGCUACUCUGAAGACCAGCCCCUCUGAAGAUGAAGCAGCAUUUUGGGGCGCGCUUUGGAACGUAGCCAAGGAAUUUGUUGGGUGAGAAGCGACCAGCAUGGGGAUGCCAAGGAUCCUUUUCAGUCUCCAUAUGGAAUCAGCUAUCACCUCUGAAGUCAUCACUAACAUUACCUCAGUGAAUCAUUCCAACAACCAUCAAUCAAUGAUUGUCAAAAAACAACAACAGUAAUACAGUUAAUUGGUACUUUGGUUCUGAGAAGAACUCAUCAACAUUCUGAAGAAUAUAUGUUUUAUCCAUGAACAUGUACUUUAUGUCCUGACACAUGAUAGUUGAUUGGUCAAGUUAGUGGAU